CAAUAGCGUAUAUUAACGUUGUUGCAGUUAAAAAGCUCGUAGUUGGAUUUCUGGGAGGGUGCCGCCGUCCGGCGUGUCCGUGUGCAGUGGCGCCCUUCCAUCCUUCUGUUAGCGUCUCUUGGCAUUCAUUUGCUGGUGGCGGGCUCAGAUAUUUUACCUUGAGAAAAUUAGAGUGUUUCAGGCAGGCUAGGCCGGAAUACAUUAGCAUGGAAUAAUGGAAUAGGACUACGGUCUCUUUGUUGGUUUGAGGGACUGCAGUAAUGAUUAAUAGGGAUAGUUGGGGGCAUUAGUAUUUAAUUGUCAGAGGUGGAAUUCUCAGAUUUGUUAAAGACUAACUUAUGCGAAAGCAUUUGCCAAGGAUGUUUNCAUUA
rnacentral:rRNA from 1 species